rnacentral:rRNA from 1 species
UACGAAGGGGGCGAGCGUUGUUCGGAAUUACUGGGCGUAAAGGGCGCGCAGGCGGUCCUUCAAGUCAGAUGUGAAAGCCCCGGGCUCAACCUGGGAACUGCAUUUGAGACUGGAGGACUUGAGGACGGGAGAGGAGAGUGGAAUUCCCAGUGUAGAGGUGAAAUUCGUAGAUAUUGGGAAGAACACCGAUGGCGAAGGCAGCUCUCUGGACCGUUACUGACGCUGAGGCGCGAAAGCUAGGGGAGCAAACGGG